rnacentral:rRNA from 1 species
CAGCACGCGGGAAUACGUAGGGUGCAAGCGUUAAUCGGAAUUACUGGGCGUAAAGCGUGCGCAGGUGGUUCUAUAAGACAGAUGUGAAAUCCCCGGGCUCAACCUGGGACCUGCAUUUGUGACUGUAUAGCUAGAGUACGGUAGAGGGGGAUGGAAUUCCGCGUGUAGCGGUGAAAUGCGUAGAUAUGCGGAGGAACACCGAUGGCGAAGGCAAUCCCCUGGACCUGUACUGACGCUCAUGCACGAAAGCGUGGGGAGCAAACAGGAUUAGAUACCCCCGUAGUCCCUGUCUCUUAUACAC